GGCGCUAUGGCCGAGUGGUUAAGGCGACAGAUUCGAAAUCUGUUCCGGUUUCCGGGCGCAGGUUCAAAUCCUGCUGGCGUCG